GGUACUCUGGUGUUGUAAGUCGCUCUGGAUAAGAGCGUCUGCUAAAUGACGUAAA
rfam:Salmo salar isolate Sally breed double haploid chromosome ssa13, whole genome shotgun sequence.